AAUCACAGCCAAACUGUUGGUUA
rnacentral:miRNA from 1 species